CUGGGAUUUAAUAUUUACAUAAACAAAAUAAUGUAUUUAAAAUGACGGCAUGUCAUUUAACAGAUGAGGAACUCCACUUGAAAGCCAAUCACAUUUAACGAUGGGGUUUCUACGCACGUCUCUACAACUUUCCAGAAGCUUUGGGAUAUUUAUAAGUUUUUCUAAUUGAAAUGCUGGAGAAUGACAUGCUUUAGGAGUGAGAGAGAAAUUACCGACGCAGACAGGAAGAAAAUUGAGUUGGUUUUUCAUCAGUCUGAUGUGGGGAGAAAAGGUUAUUUGUCCCGAGAAGAUCUAAAGAUAGCAGUGGUCAUGUUAUUUGGAUAUAAGCCAUCGAAGUCUGAGACAAAUUUACUGAUGGAGUCUGGCUCUGUUAAGGACUGCCCAGGGGUCCCACUGCAUCAGUUUACAACUCUCAUGGGGCGGAAGAUGUCAGCUGAAGAUCCGUAUGAGAAGAUGAGGCAGAUCUUCAGCGCCUUUGAUGUACACUGUCGUGGCUUCUUGAAGCUGGAGGACUUCAAAGGCGCCUUCAAGCGAGUUGCUCCUCACCUGCCGGAGAGAACGGUGCUGGAGGCUUUCCGGAAGCCAUCGCGGAUGAGGAGAGUCACCGCGACGCCCUAUUAACUAAGCGGGCCGGUCGCGAGAUGCACACUACGUAGUCAUCAAUCUCUCCUCCCGGCAUGUGGAUCUGGAUUCUGAUGGUCAUGUCAGCUUUAAGGACUUUGAAAACGUCAUCAGCUACGGUUUGGGAAACUUUUGAGGCUAUGUGACACAAACCUAUUGGACACUUUGGAACAGUUUGGGACCUUCAAGUGACCCUAACUCGAAAAGACAAUUUGCAAAACAAUCCAAGAUUUUUGUAGUCUGGAUUUGUGAUGGAUUGAUGUAUAGUCUGUAUAUCAUUAAUGAUACAACAAAGCUACACAACAUAACUGAAUUGACUGAACUUAGGUGUGAAUGAAACUCGGCUGUGAAGGACCAAAGUAAAUAUGCCCAAGUGUUUUUAGUAAAUACCUGACAGACAUUCAUAGCCGACUCUUUUUUAGAUAAUUGUUAGCGACUUAAAGGCCCUGUUUGGCCUUGUCCAUGUAAAGACACCGACUUCAGAUUCUUGACACUUGUGUUUGAUGAUGGGUUUUGAUGUCGUAUCGAUCAAGUUGGUCCGGGUCUCCACCGUGUAAUAGAGAAGCACUCAUUUCUAUCGUGCACUUGCCUUACAAACUGCAUCAAAUUUAACCUCUCAAGGUCUAAUUCACAAUGUGAGAGAACUCUCUUCCAUAACCUCACUCGCCCAGUCCCCAGACAUUCCGUAGCAUCUGAAAUGACUUCUGUGAAUUCAGUUACAGCAGUCGGGAAGGUCUUUUAAAAUUCCCCUCCCUCAUUCCAUUUUCAUCAGCGAAAUAGGCAGGUUGCCUCAAAAUUGAAUAUUAACGUUCACAUACUGUUCAUGCGAAAUUCCCUUCCGCCGACGUAUAUUAAAAAGCCAGAGCGUUCAGGAGGGAUUUUAUGUGGCUCUACUUGUUACACGCGAUUAUGGAACUGUAAAUACUUGUUUGCGUUUAGAGAGAUUUGCCGCACUCCCGUCUGAAUAAAGAUUAAUUUGUUUUUGUAAUCAGUCCUGAGUCUUCAUCUGUAUGACGUGACGCACGCUCCGCAAUCCAUCAGGGGGCAUCAAGUAAGGAAAUGGCCUUGGAGGAAAAAAUAAUCAAAUACAGUUUUAAUCAAAUACGUGCUUAAUCCACUCAUAGAUUCAUUUUCAGGAAUGGCCUGCUGUUCAAAUAUAAACAGAGACGCGCUAGUUUAAUCUUCACCUUCCUCUUUGAAACUCGAUUAAACCAAUCCGCCAAUUUAGUUGUUGUAUUGUGUUGUGGGAGAGCGCGUGCUACACCGUGAGCCAAACCCGUGCGAGGAAAGUAGGUAGAGCUGUCUUGCAAUGGGGCUUCGAAGUAAGCCUUGCCAACAGUGCAAAGAGCCGCAGAUUAACACAUUGUGUGCCUGCUGUUCAUGCCAGCUUUUUGAAGGUAUAAACCCUGUUUUAUUGUGUUGAAAGUAGAGUGUUUUCAGCUAGUUAUUUCUCUCACUCUCUCCCGUAUUUAACUCUUUCUCUGUAUGUCUCUAAAUCUUUCUUUGUCUCUAUUCUCAAUCAUUCCAGCUCUCCAUAACAAUCUCUUUGUAUCUCUUUUUCUUUCUCUAUCGUUUCCUCUUCUGUUCCGUUUCGUGCCUUCGAGCUGCUAUGAACUGAUAGCGAGAACGAGAAUUCAACAAUUGACAGCUGGUGAACAAGACCAAACGUAUAAUUCCACCAUCACUCUGACUCAUAGAGAUGCACGAUAUGGCGAUUUAGUAGGGUCAGAUCCAAACUCAAACCGUGUGGAAAGACAGCAUGAGCGAGACGAACAAAAUGAGUCUUUUUUAUUAUUAUAACUUUUAAUUGGGUCUCUUAGCUGUCACACUUGUGUUUUGUUUUCUUGUAGUCGCAUGAAUAUCUGGAUCAUAUUUACCCUGAAAGCGAUUAUAGACGGUUUCAUCGGAUGCAUGCGCCAGGCCUGAAGUUAAAGGGAUGGGAACAUUCUUGUCAUUUCUGCCUGAAUGACUUUUUGUCUUCCGCAGAACACAAAAGAAGAUAUUUUGAAGAAAGUUGGUAACCGAACAGCGGCGACACCCGUUCACUUCUAUUCUAUGGACACAACAUUUUUCAACAUAUCUUUUGUGUUCUGCGGAAGAAAGAAAGUCAUACAGGUUUGACAUGACAAGAGUCUGAGUAAAUGAUGAGAAUUUUCUUUUUGGCAGAACUAUCUAAUAUAACCAUAUAUUUUAUAUUUUUAUAAUAAUAUUAAUUUAUACUCAUAUUUUAUUGUAUAUUAAUUAUAUUAAAUAAAACUACUCUGCAGUUAAUGAUUCUUUGCGGUGGUCUACCGGAAGUAAGAUAUGGACCAGAUAGCAGUUAUGUGUUUCCGCUGAAACCUAUAUCUAUAUUUAUAUAUAUAUUUUGCAUAACACACAGUCUCACAGAUGUAAAAAAUCAUAGCAGUACCUUAUAACUGUUCUUGAUGUUUCUCUAAAAAUUGGACUAUGGAACUGUGACCUCCUUAUUUACUAUGGUCUCUACUGUCAACCAUGACCUUGGGUAACCAAGUUAUAUCAAUGGCUUUUCUUAUAAGAAAAUAUGAUAAAAUUAUUAGUAAUACAAGAAAUUGGAAUUUCAUUGGAAAAAAUGACAUUAUAAAUAAUAACAACAUAAUUAGGAAAAAUUAUAUUAAAAGAAAAUAUGUUUUUUUUUUGUAUGACCUUGACAGUUUUUGUCAGAUUUAGUCAUGAAUCAGCAGUGACUUUACCCGUAUCACUUAAGGUCCAUCCACACCAAGAACAAUUUCAACGACAUUUACGAUAAUAUGAACGAUAACUUUGUAUAUUAUCGUUUGGUUAAUUCUACGCUUGUGCUUCAGUUUUACAUGUUAAA